CAAGUCGAGCGAGAAUCGUAGCAAUACGAGGACAGCGGCGAAAGGGAGAGGAAUACGUAGAUAUCUGCCCCUGAGACCGGGAUAGCGUCGGGAAACUGGCAGUAAUACCGGAUAACGUCUUUGGACCAAAGGUGUGAUUCCGCUCGAGGAUGAGUCUACGCCCUAUUAGCUAGUUGGUGGGGUAAUGGCCUACCAAGGCGAUGAUGGGUAGCGGGUGUGAGAGCAUGAUCCGCCUCACUGGGACUGAGAACUGCCCAGACACCUACGGGUGGCUGCAGUCGAGAAUCUUUGUCAAUGGACGAAAGUCUGAACAAGCGACGCCGCGUGCGGGAUGAAGGCCUUCGGGUUGUAAACCGCUGUCGUAGGGGAACAAAUGUAGAGGGGUUCUCCCCUUUAUUUGAGUGAUCCUAGGAGGAAGGAGAGGCUAAGCUCGUGCCAGCAGCCGCGGUAAGACGAGCUCUCCAAACGUUAUUCGGAAUCACUGGGCUUAAAGAGUUCGUAGGCGGCUCAGCAGGUCAGGUGUGAAAUCCCACAGCUCAACUGUGGAACUGCGCUUGAAACCGCUGGGCUUGAGGGAGACAGAGGUAAGCGGAACAGAUGGUGGAGCGGUGAAAUGCGUUGAUAUCAUCUGGAACACCGGUGGCGAAAGCGGCUUACUGGGUCUCUUCUGACGCUGAGGAACGAAAGCUAGGGUAGCAAACGGGAUUAGAUACCCCGGUAGUCCUAGCCGUAAACGAUGAGCACUAGUCUGUGGGGACCCUCACAUCCUCUCGGACGUAGCGAAAGUGUUAAGUGCUCCGCCUGGGGAGUAUGGUCGCAAGGCUGAAACUCAAAGGAAUUGACGG
rnacentral:rRNA from 1 species